UACGUAGGGGGCUAGCGUUGUCCGGAAUCAUUGGGCGUAAAGAGCGUGUAGGCGGUCCGGUAAGUCCGUUGUGAAAGUCAGGGGCUCAACCCUUGAAUGCCGGCGGAUACUGUCGGGCUAGAGUCCGGAAGAGGCGAGUGGAAUUCCCGGUGUAGCGGUGAAAUGCGCAGAUAUCGGGAGGAACACCGGUGGCGAAGGCGGCCAUCUGGACGGAUACUGACGCUGAGACGCGAAAGCGUGGGUAGCAAACAGG
rnacentral:rRNA from 1 species